UUAGGUGAAGGGAUGAGUUCAGAUGAUAGUCAGCCAAGAAUUUAACUUUCAAGAACAAAAAUGGAAGAUAAAGAUGUAUCGUCAAUAUCAACUGCUGAACUGCAGAAAAAAAGCACUCAGAGUUGUCUUGAAGAUAAUUUUAAAAACAAAAUGGCUAAAAUUAGGGCAACUUUGUGAAUGUUAUUGGAGUAAGUCGAUUUACUUUACCGAAGAUAUGUUAUUUGAUUUGAUACUCUGAUUUUGAUAUGAAAAAAAAUGUUAUCUAAUUAUCAUAAUAAAUGAUAAAACAAA